CAACAGUGAGGAAUAUUGGUCUAAGGGCGCCAGCCUGAACCAGCCAUGCCGCGUGAAGGAUGACGGCCCUAUGGGUUGUAAACUUCUUUUGUACGGGAAAAAACCACCGGACGCGUAUCGGUGCUGAUGGUACCGUAAGAAUAAGCAUCGGCUAACUCCGUGCCAGCAGCCGCGGUAAUACGGAGGAUGCAAGCGUUAUCCGGAUUCAUUGGGUUUAAAGGGUGCGCAGGCGGAGUGAUAAGUCAGUGGUGAAAGCCUACAGCUUAACUGUAGAACUGCCAUUGAUACUGUCAUUCUUGAGUAUUGUUGAGGUAGGCGGAAUGUGUCAUGUAGCGGUGAAAUGCUUAGAUAUGACACAGAACACCGAUCGCGAAGGCAGCUUACCAAGCAAUAACUGACGCUCAUGCACGAAAGCGUGGGGAUCAAACAGGAUUAGAUACCCUGGUAGUCCACGCCGUAAACGAUGAUCACUCGAUGUUGGCGAUACACAGUCAGCGUCUUAGGGAAACUAUUAAGUGAUCCACCUGGGGGAGUACGGUCGCAAGAUUGAAACCUCAAAGGAAUUGACGGGGGCCCGCACAAGCGGAGGAGCAUGGUGGUUUAAUUCGAUGAUACCCGAGGAACCUUACCUGGGCUCGAACGUGGAAUGAACAGUCGCGGAAACGUGAUCCUUCUUCCGGACAUUCUACGAGGUGCUGCAUGGUUGUCCAACAGCUCGUGGCCGUGAGGUGUCGGGUUAAGUUCCCAUAACGAGCGCCACCCCUAUUCUUUAGUUGCCAUCAGUCACGCUGGGGACUCUAAAGAAACUGCUACGCAAGUAGUGGAGGAAGGGCGGGAUGACGUUCAAAUCAGCACGGCCCCUUACGUCCAGGCCUACCACGGUGCUACAAUGGCCGGUACGAGGCACUACUGGGACGAUGCAUCCCAAAGCGGUCUCAGUCGAUCGAGUGAACUGACUCUGAGUGGAUCGCUAAUCCGCAUCACAUGGCG
rnacentral:rRNA from 1 species